rnacentral:lncRNA from 1 species
AAAUCCCUUUUAAAAGUUAUUUCUCAUUUUAAUUGAUUAUUAUAUACAAUUAUAUAAAAUCGACUCAUGUUUGAUACUGCUUAAAGAUUUUGUACCAUAUAAUUACCUGAUGCACUGUUCUCUCGUGUCGUCGUAGGGCAUCUCUUGACUUGUAGGUUUUUGUGCAAAUUCCACACCCUAGUUGGUUUUCUGUGUGAAAAAAUCUCUUAUGUCUUGAAAGACCUGAUCUGGAUUUAAAUUCCUUUUUACAGAUAUUAACACAAAUGUAAGUCUGACAUAUUAAAACAAAGCAUUUAAAAUAUAUGAUCACAUUUUUAG